rnacentral:rRNA from 1 species
CAAUAGCGUAUAUUAAAGUUGUUGCAGUUAGAACGCUCGUAGUCGGAUUUCGGGGCGGGCCGACCGGUCUGCCGAUGGGUAUGCACUGGUCGGCGCGUCCUUCCUUCCGGAGACCGUCCCUACUCUUAACUGAGCGGGGGCGGGAGACGGGACUUUUACUUUGAAAAAAUCAGAGUGUUUUAAGCAGGCAGCUCGCUCUUGCAUGGAUUAGCAUGGGAUAAUGAAAUAGGACUUUGGUGCUAUUUUGUUGGUUUCGAACACCGAAGUAAUGAUGAGAAGGGACAGUCAGGGGCACUCGUAUUCCGCCGAGAGAGGUGAAAUUCUCAGACCAGCGGAAGACGAACCACUGCGAAAGCAUUUGCCAGGGAUGUUUUCACUGA